CGUUGGUGGUCAAGCUAGGCGGCGGCGGCGCCAUGGAUCCCGUCGGUGGGCAACCUAGGCGGCGGCGACACCAUGAAUUCCAUCGGUGGCCAGCGGGGAGAGGCUAGCGGGGGCUGCAGCGGAGGUGGCCAACCUAGGCGGCGGCACCACGAAUCCCGUCGAUGGCCAGCGAGGGGAAGCCCAGCGGGGGCCUCAGUGGCCGGUGCCCAAGCUUGGCGCCAGUCUGUUGGACAAGGCCGUGAUGGUCGCCGUCAUAGGAGGUGUGUGGAUCUGACUCCAAUGGCGUCGGCGAGCUCAUCCUCGUUCUCUUGCUCGACGAGGAGGACUUAGUGAGCUCCGACUCUGUUGUCGCCGGUGAGCUCAUCCUCCUCCAAUGGAGUGCAGCCUCUAAUCUUUGAUCCCAUGUAAUUAGCUAGUGAUUCUAAACUACUCGUAUUGUUUAAUAUGUUGUAUAUGGGAUCGACGAAUUUUGUGUUAAUUGUUGUUUUAAUUGAUUAACGUUGUGGUAAACAAAAAUGUUAUGCGAAAUUUAUGUGGUGUUUACACAAUGGCAAUGUUAAUUAGUUAUUAGUUUGGUUCAUCGUGGAUCCCACAUGGUAGUGAGAUGAUAGAGGGAUGGCUUUCUCUGUGAUGGGUCCCACUUUGAAGUGUCUGGUCCAGAGAAAAGUCUGGAGACGGUCAACACACUUGGAUGGAAAUGUGACGGAAGGGCAAAAACAUAAGAUGGGCAAACAGACUUGGGCAAAACCGAGGGUUUACGA
rnacentral:lncRNA from 1 species